UACGAAGGGGGCUAGCGUUGCUCGGAAUCACUGGGCGUAAAGCGCACGUAGGCGGCUUGCUAAGUCAGGGGUGAAAUCCUGGAGCUCAACUCCAGAACUGCCUUUGAUACUGGCGAUCUCGAGUCCGGGAGAGGUGAGUGGAACUGCGAGUGUAGAGGUGAAAUUCGUAGAUAUUCGCAAGAACACCAGGGGCGAAGGCGGCUCACGGGCCCGGUACUGACGCUGAGGUGCGAAAGCGUGGGGAGCAAACAGG
rnacentral:rRNA from 1 species